rnacentral:rRNA from 1 species
UACGUAGGGUGCAAGCGUUGUCCGGAAUUAUUGGGCGUAAAGAGCUCGUAGGCGGUUUGUCGCGUCUGCUGUGAAAUCCCGAGGCUCAACCUCGGGCCUGCAGUGGGUACGGGCAAACUAGAGUGUGGUAGGGGAGAUUGGAACUCCUGGUGUAGCGGUGGAAUGCGCAGAUAUCAGGAAGAACACCGAUGGCGAAGGCAGAUCUCUGGGCCAUUACUGACGCUGAGGAGCGAAAGCGUGGGGAGCGAACAGGAUUAGAUACCCUGGUAGUCCACGCCGUAAACGUUGGGAACUAGAUGUAGGGUCCAUUCCACGGAUUCUGUGUCGCAGCUAACGCAUUAAGUUCCCCGCCUGGGGAGUACGGCCGCAAGGCUAAAACUCAAAGGAAUUGACGGGGGCCCGCACAAGCGGCGGAGCAUGCGGAUUAAUUCGAUGCAACGCGAAGAACCUUACCAAGGCUUGACAUAUACCGGAAAAGCGUAGAAAUACGCUCCCCGCAAGGUCGGUAUACAGGUGGUGCAUGGUUGUCGUCAGCUCGUGUCGUGAGAUGUUGGGUUAAGUCCCGCAACGAGCGCAACCCUCGUCCUAUGUUGCCAGCACGUAAUGGUGGGAACUCAUGGGAGACUGCCGGGGUCAACUCGGAGGAAGGUGGGGAUGACGUCAAAUCAUCAUGCCCCUUAUGUCUUGGGCUUCACGCAUGCUACAAUGGCCGAUACAGAGGGCUGCAAUACCGCAAGGUGGAGCGAAUCCCAAAAAGUCGGUCUCAGUUCGGAUUGAGGUCUGCAACUCGACCUCAUGAAGUCGGAGUCGCUAGUAAUCGCAGAUCAGCAACGCUGCGGUGAAUACGUUCCCGGGCCU